rnacentral:lncRNA from 1 species
ACCCACAGCUUCCAAAGUCCUUCCCCGCCCCACGCAGGGGAGAGAGAGCCGAGAGCUGGCCGGGCUAGGAUAGGGGCUGUGGGCCAGACCCAGGGGACGGGAGGUGCAGUCCUGCCGCCUGCUGCCCCCAUGAAGAACAUCCCACUGCUCCCCUGGCCUCCCUGCUCCCAGGGCCAAAUGUGGCCGAAAUCACAGACCCCCAAUGUCCCUCCCCGCGGAGAUACACGGACCCCAUUGCCCUCAAAAAGAGGUAACACCCUGGGACCCCUCCGCCGAGGAUGUGUGGCUCCUCGCAGAAAACGCAGACCCCACCCAAGUCCUGUCUUGACGCCCUCGGUUCCCGUCUGUGUCUCAAGGCGUCCCAGCGCGGCUCCCCAUACCCCAAAGAUGGACCCUCAAUUCUUCCGCAAGGCAUUCGCGGCCCCUGCUCAUCUCAGCCCCACCACUCUGGACGGCCCACUUCCCUUCGGCUGCUCCACGUGUCCCUACAAUCCGAGCCCACGGACCAAGCCUCCUUGGAGUGUCCAGCUGCCCAAAGCGGCCACCGCUAUGGCUAUGAAAUAGAGGCAGCAUCGCACUCUUGAUAGAAAUGAGAAAAUUGAGACCC